rnacentral:lncRNA from 1 species
GACGGAGAGGGACCCAGGGAUGCUGCCAGAGGAGAGAAUCGGCAUUCCUGGAGAAGUGCCGGAGCCCCUGAAGUUGAUGGAGACCCCUCACCUCUGUCCCUUGGGAGCACGGGCUAUGAUGAUGCUGAUGAGAUGUCUCUGUCAUAACCCCAUUGGACACAAAGGCUGUGACACCAGAGCGCUAGGAUGCCUGAGCUCUGGGACAAGAGACUCUGUCCCUGCCAUGAAGUUGGGUGUAGACACAAAGGAGAGGUCAGUGCCACUGAGAGAGCCGUGAGUGCCAGCAGCUCUUUUCACAGGGGCAUCAGAAACAGCCAUGCAAUUCCUCCAAGUUUUAUUCCUCUGCUUUUAUGUUGUGCAUUGCUACUGGUUCCUAUUAAAACACUGUGAGAGCUUUGACCCAGAGCUUUUGCUUGCCCGCCCAUAUUUUGGGACAUCUCUCUGAGGCUGACUGGAUAAGCAGAGCACAAGGGCACAGUGUUGGGCUGGGGCACUUCUUGGGGACAGUGGGCUUGGGCUCAGGGCCAUGGUGCCUGGGAA